AAAGCUUGAUUCAAGUGAAGGUUGUUCUUGUUUAUCUUCGAAUUCGGUUGUAAGGCUUUUGGUCUUUUUCUAGAAAAGUUUUUUGAGAUGACGUCUCUUUGAAAUUGAUAGACCCCUCAACAUAUUCGAUGUUAUCCUUAGUUGGGGUUUUGUCUCUCAAUUCCACGGAAGUUGUCCAAAAGAAGUGGUGGACUCAAUAGAGUGGAGCACCUCGUCGAGUGCUUGAAGAGACGAACCAUGCACCACACAAUUUACAUAGACAUGAUCAUGGGAGGUUUGAGCAAAAAUAUGGGACGGAAAAUGAGUUUAGGCAACAAAAAUAAGAUUAAAUUAAAAAAUUGUUUGGGCCUUAGAUAAAUUUUUUUGGCUUGGGCCC
rnacentral:lncRNA from 1 species